rnacentral:ncRNA from 1 species
GUAAAGGCUGUGAUAGGGAAAAGUAGGAUUUUUGCAGGGCCGAAAGCGAGCCGGGGAGGGUGGAAGCCCGGUGGUCCGGAAAAUCUGAAGUUCUCCCUGGAGCUGGCCGCUGAACAAAGAAGUAGGCGGACCCGGAGAGUUCCACCGUUAAAAGGAACGGGGUAUCGGAGGUUUCCUGUACUCUUAGGGUGGUAAUUAAACCUUUGGUUCCCUAAGCCAAAGGUUUUUUUGUAUCCUAAGGAAAUUUCCCGUACCUUUAACGAGAGGGCAGCAAUGCCAAGAAGGGUGGUACCGCGGAAGACGACCCGGUCUUUCGUCCCUUGG